UUUUUUUUUUUUUAAUUUAGUGAUACAAAUAUAUAAUUAAUGGAGUGAUCUCGGACCAGGCUUCAUUCCUUACACUCAUUUUCUAUCACCUCAAACAAACAGCUCCUUGUAAAUCAAGAUAAGUACUUUUAUUAAUAUCUUUUUAUGUUAAUUACUAGCACUAAUUAUUAUCGUUGUUUUUAUUUUACACGUCUCUUAAUUUUUUACUCUAUAAGGUUAGGGUUUUAUGUUUUUAAAGUUAGUAUCUUUGAUUACUCUCUACUUUCAUAAGACAAGGUUUAUCACUCAAAUUAUGGAUGUGUGAUAUUAUGUAACGACGAAGAAUGAUUCAUUCUAUCCAACCAAUGUAUUCAUUAACACAAUACACGAGGCAAACACACAAGUUGUUGAAAUAUGAAUUGCACCAAAAGCAAAGCAAUGUCAUUUCAAGCCAUUAUAUUGCUUUUAAAACAAUUGCAAGUAAAAUGUAAUAUAUUGUUCAAAGCUAUAAUAAGCAAGGUAAUAGUUCUAAUUUAAA